UUACACACGUAAAAACGCACAAGUUGUAACAAACCUGCAGCAGACAUGUAGCAAUGCUGUUCCAACAACUUGUCAACAGGAUGUGUUCGCACUGCUUGUUCCCAGCUUGUUGACAACUUGCUACAAGGUUGUUGAGCUCAACAGACUUGCUACAAGUUGUUCCAGUGACCAACAAUUUGUUAUCGUCCUGCAAUUCAACAAUUUGUCAACAAGUUGUGAGUGACAGCCUUGUAGCAACUUGAUGAAAUAACAGCAUUGUUACAACUUGUUGACAAGCUUGCUACAAGCCUGUUGCGAACACAUCUUGUUGACAAGUUGUGAGAUUU